UUUUCUCUCCAAAUCGGAGAGAAAAUAAGAAGAGUUGAAAGGAAAUUUUACUAUACAUAACAAAGUUACAAAAUUGCCCUUUUUAUUUAAGUUAUUUUUAAAUAUAUAGGAUAAAUUUGUUAGUUCAUCACAAUUUUCUUUCCUUUCUUUACUUUCUCCCCUUUCAAAACAAGGGAAAAUAAUUUAUUUUCCUUCCAUCCAAG
rnacentral:misc_RNA from 1 species